rnacentral:rRNA from 1 species
AUCAUGGCUCAGAAUCAACGCUGGCGGCGUACCUAACACAUGCAAGUCGAACGCGACUGAGUGGCUUCGGUCCUCAGUUGAGUGGCAAACGGGUGAGUAACGCGUGGGUGAUCUACCUCUGGGUGGGGGAUAACACUCCGAAAGGAGUGCUAAUACCGCAUGACAUCCUGUUUUUUGGAUGAAUGGAGAUCAAAGCCGGGGAUCGCAAGACCUGGCGCCUGGAGAGGAGCCCGCGUCCGAUUAGCUAGUUGGUGGGGUAACGGCCUACCAAGGCGACGAUCGGUAGCCGGCCUGAGAGGGCGGACGGCCACACUGGGACUGAGACACGGCCCAGACUCCUACGGGAGGCAGCAGUGGGGAAUUGUUCGCAAUGGACGAAAGUCUGACGACGCAACGCCGCGUGAAGGAUGAAGGUCUUCGGAUUGUAAACUUCUGUUGGGUGGGAAGAAAUGUUUCCGGAUCAAUACCCCGGAAAUCUGACGGUACCACCUGAGGAAGCCCCGGCUAACUCUGUGCCAGCAGCCGCGGCAAUACAGAGGGGGCAAGCGUUGUUCGGAAUUACUGGGCGUAAAGGGCGCGUAGGCGGCCUACUAAGUCACGACGUGAAAUCCCUCGGCUCAACCGGGGAACUGCGUCUGAUACUGGUGGGCUUGAGUUCGGGAG